rnacentral:lncRNA from 1 species
AUUUUAGUAAUCAUCUCCCGGGUUUUUAAAGACUGCUCAAUUUUCUUUAUGUGAAUAUCUUGUUUAAGAAAAUUGAUAUGGGAAGAAAGUCGGUUAAUUUUAAAAACAGUUCAUUCUUUAAUAAGGUUACCUUCUUCUUGUGAGAGGGGCCUUAGUAAAGGGAAGAAUAAGUUCUGGUUUAAAAGAGUUGUACGAAUUCCGUCGUAGUCACUCCAGUAAGGUCGAAUCUGGUUGACGAAAGGUAUCCCUAAAAUGAUAUCUUCUGUGAUAUCUUCGGUGAUGACGAAGUCAUUAACAAGGCAAAUGCCAUUGUUACAGACAUGAGCUUUAGGGAGUUGAUAAUGGAUUUCUAUUUUUUCUCCCGUGGCUGAGUAAAGACGAGAGGUACUCUUUNNN